rnacentral:rRNA from 1 species
CGCCUCUUGAAACUAUAUAAGAGGUCCCGCCUGCCCAGUGAACUUAUUCAACGGCCGCGGUAUCCUAACCGUGCGAAGGUAGCGUAAUCACUUGUUCUUUAAAUAAGGACUAGUAUGAAUGGCACCACGAGGGUUACACUGUCUCCUUUUUUAAAUCAGUUAAACUAAUCUUCCCGUGAAGAAGCGAGGAUAAUAUUAUAAGACGAGAAGACCCUAUGGAGCUUUAAACAAACAACACUUGCUGCAAACCCUUUUCUUUAUAAAGUUUAGCACUAUGAUUACAAAGUUUUCGAUUGGGGUGAUCACGGAGCAAAAAACAACCUCCACGUUGAAUAGGGCUUUAUACCCUGAGCAAUAAGCCACAACUUUAUGCACUAAAAAAUUAACAUGCAUUGACCCAUAAUUUUGAUCAACGAACCAAGUUACCCUAGGGAUAACAGCGCAAUCUGCUUCAAGAGCUCCUAUCGACAAGCAGGUUUACGACCUCGAUGUUGGAUCAGGGUAUCCAAGUGGUGCAGCCGCUACUAAUGGUUCGUUUGUUCAACGAUUAAAACCCU